rnacentral:tmRNA from 1 species
GGGGACGAUCUGGAUUCGACGCCGGUGACGAAACCAAAGGUGCAUGUCGAGAGGGUAGUGACUCUCGUUAAACAAUCGCUGUAACUUUAUAGUUGCCAACGACGAAAACUACGC